UCUCCAUACUCCAUUACAUCUCCUCAUAGGUUAUCUACUUUGCUUUAGAUGAUGCCUUCUUUGCCUCCCAUUUGCCAACUUCUCUCAUUCAAUCCCACUCGUUCCUCCUCAUCAGGGCUUAACUCUAGACAAGCUGUGGAAACUACCAAGUUGGAGUACGGUAGGGGCAAAGGGAAUUUCCGGUGGAGCCGUGAAAUGCGUAGAGAUCGGAAAGAACACCAACCGCGAAAGCACUCUGCUGGGCCACACUGACACUGAGGGACGAAAGCUAGAGGAGUGAAUGGGAUUAGAUGCCCUAGUAGUCCUAGCCGUAAACGAUGGUACUAGGCGUUGUGCGUAUCGACCCGUACAGUGUUGUAGCUAACGUGUUAAGUAUCCCGCCU
rnacentral:lncRNA from 1 species